rnacentral:rRNA from 1 species
AUUGAACGCUGGCGGCAUGCCUUACACAUGCAAGUCGAACGGUAACGGGCCUUCGGGUGCCGACGAGUGGCGCACGGGUGAGUAAUACAUCGGAACGUGCCCGAUCGUGGGGGAUAACGAGGCGAAAGCUUUGCUAAUACCGCAUACGAUCUACGGAUGACAGCAGGGGACCGCAAGGCCUUGCGCGGACGGAGCGGCCGAUGGCAGAUUAGGUAGUUGGUGGGAUAAAAGCUUACCAAGCCGACGAUCUGUAGCUGGUCUGAGAGGAUGAUCAGCCACACUGGGACUGAGACACGGCCCAGACUCCUACGGGAGGCAGCAGUGGGGAAUUUUGGACAAUGGGCGCAAGCCUGAUCCAGCCAUGCCGCGUGCAGGAUGAAGGCCUUCGGGUUGUAAACUGCUUUUGUACGGAACGAAAAGCCUUCUUUUAAUACAGGAGGGUCAUGACGGUACCGUAAGAAUAAGCACCGGCUAACUACGUG